AUAGCGGAUGCCGAAAAGCUAUAAACGAGUAGGCU
rnacentral:ncRNA from 1 species